rnacentral:sRNA from 17 species
ACACACCCAGAUGCCUUUCAUAUACAUUUGAAAGGAAUUGCCCGUACUAGUCGCUGAAAGGCGAGGUGGGGGUAGGUUAUUGCGUGAUUGCAAGAGUUGUAAAGCUAGACCUGGGAACUUAAUUUAUGUGUGAAUUUAACCUACUU